GGGGCCAUGCAACUUGCUCAAGAUCACAGAGCCAGGAGGUGGUGGAGGCAGGACUCGAACCCAGAUCUCCCUGCCAACAAAGCCUUUGGAUUUGCCAGCUUGCCCCACAGCCUGCAUCAGGGAGUUUCCUGGAGCUAAAAUUCCAGUUGCCAAAAUCUUCCUCAUUUCUCUGCUCUGGUCCAAAGCUGAAAGGAACCCCAAGAAGCCAUUUGUUCAAGGUUUGCCUUUAGGCAAUCAAGGUCUAAAAAUUCUUUGAGCCUCCUUCCUGAAGUGGCAGAGCCUAAUUCUCCUCCAGUGUGGGUGGACUGGAUGACUUCCUUCUAAUGCAUAAAGUGGAAACAAGAGUAUGUGACUUCUGAGACUAGGUCAUGAAAGGCACCAUGGCUUUCUUCUCUUUCCUGGAUUACUCACUGUAAGGGAAAGCCAGCUGCCAUGUUGUGAGGACACUCAAGCAACCCAGUGGAGAGAUGGCGAGAAACUGAAGCCUCCUGCCAAUAGCUAGCAAAGAAACGAGGCCUUUUGCCAAGAGCUGUGGGAAUAAGCCAUCUUGGAAGCCGACCCACCAUCCCCAAUCAAGCCUUUGGAGAACUGCAGCCCAGGCCAAUGUUUUGUCUGCAACCUCAUUGGAGACCCUGAGCCAGAACCACCCAGCCAAGCUGCUUCUGAAUCUCUGAUUCACGGAAGUUGUGAGAUACUAAACAUUUGUUAUUUUAAGCUAC